rnacentral:rRNA from 1 species
GAUGAACGCUGGCGGCGUGCCUAAUACAUGCAAGUCGAGCGAACAGAUCAGGAGCUUGCUCCUUUGACGUUAGCGGCGGACGGGUGAGUAACACGUGGAUAACCUACCUAUAAGACUGGGAUAACUUCGGGAAACCGGAGCUAAUACCGGAUAACAUAUUGAACCGCAUGGUUCAAUAGUGAAAGGCGGCUUUGCUGUCACUUAUAGAUGGAUCCGCGCCGUAUUAGCUAGUUGGUAAGGUAACGGCUUACCAAGGCAACGAUACGUAGCCGACCUGAGAGGGUGAUCGGCCACACUGGAACUGAGACACGGUCCAGACUCCUACGGGAGGCAGCAGUAGGGAAUCUUCCGCAAUGGGCGAAAGCCUGACGGAGCAACGCCGCGUGAGUGAUGAAGGUCUUCGGAUCGUAAAACUCUGUUAUCAGGGAAGAACAAAUGUGUAAGUAACUGUGCACAUCUUGACGGUACCUGAUCAGAAAGCCACGGCUAACUACGUG